ACCCUCCAAACUUUUUACACUCCACAUGUAUGGCAUUUGGCACUGCAUGGUAGAAGAUGGACUAUUUUUUGACCUGUUUGCUAUAUUUAAUCAAUUAAUUUCAUUUAGAGUAAUUUUUUGAUUUAAGUCAAAUUUGAACUGCAGGUGGUUGGAAUAAUGGAAUAAUAUGAGUGAAAAAAUCAUAUUCAUGUUAGUGAGUCUAAAUUGAGGUCUCACCCAGAAAAUGAAAAGAAAGUUCGAACAUUUUGCUAAGGAAACACGACUACGAACGUGUGGCCAAAUGAUUGUUUAAUUCUCAAAAAUACAAACGAAGUUUGAAAAUCAUGAGAUUUUGCAAGAUGCUUUGAUUUCGUAUGCAGAGGCCGUGGUAAAAAAUUGAUAAGGUUUCGCACAAGUUUUGACAUAUGAUGUUUACAAUUCGAAGCAUCUCCGGAGAGGUUUCAUAGAAGUCCAAAUUUUUUUUUAUAGGCUAUAGAGAACAUAGAUAGGUUCAUGUCAAAUUUUGGGAAAUUUUCAGAUCCGUUUGGUAAUUUUUAUUCAUUAAUUGGACGUAUAUGAAUUUAAUAGAUAUAAAUUAAAUAUGAGCUAUAAAUCCAUGAAAUAAUGGUACAAUAUUACUUAAAAAAUG
rnacentral:lncRNA from 1 species